GAUCAGCAUCAUACAUAUCAUACAUUUGCAUGACUAGGGCCCUAACAGAAUUUAAAAUGAAGAACGAUGUUGCCGUCAUGUUAUUAAACUACCUUCUGAAAACCUACAUCUGUUCCUAGAUCUGUGCUGCUCUCAGCUUUGGUCUGAGAAGCCUCACUCGGGGGCACGUUGUGCUCAUGCAGACUCAAAACUUGCCCACGUGCUGAGUAUGAGUAACUGUGAGUGCUCAGCUGGGGGGUCGCGUCAACGACACCUCCAUAGAACCCCCAUCCAAGCCUCAGGGAUCACCAUGGGUCAGGGGAUGGGAAGAGUGUCGGAGCCGACCAAAGGGGAGGAGCAGCUAUGUCUAUCUGUAUAGGAUCAAGCCAGUCAAACUUUCAGCACCGGACGGCCACACCCCCUGGGCGGAGCCAUGGGCAGUUGAGGCUACCAAAGGUGACCACUGGCAGAUUACCUGCGCCCCAGUGGAUAGCCCCGCACCCGUGCGCAUAAUGGACCACACUAACUGAACUCAAAAAGAAUCUUUUAUUGCUGUGGUAAAACACUGGCCAAGAACAAAUUGAGGAAGAAAAUGAUCAUUUGGCUUACAUUCUCCAUCACAAGCUGACUGAGGAAAAUAAGGCAGGAGCCUAGCAGCAGGAACUUAAACAGAGCCCAUAUAGGAAUGUCACUCACUGGCUUUCUCUCCAAGCUCAAGUUCAGCUAGCUUUCUCAUACCUCCCAGAACCACGUGCGGGCUGUGGCACCACCGACAGCAGUCUGGGCCUUCCUACAUCGGUCAUUAACUAAGACAAUACCCCAGGAAGAGACUCACAGGACAAUCUGUGAGGUUCCAGUGAGUGUCACAGUGCAGCAAACACUAAGAAAACUGCAAGUCCUUCCUCAAGAGUCGGAGAGCCCGGCCUGUGGAGCUCACACCUAACUCCAGCACUCAGGAGGCUACAAGGUCUACAGCUCCAGUGUAGUGGAAGCUAGAGAGUGAGUCAAAGGAGAAAGUGGGGGAUGGAGGGACACAAAGACAGAGAGGAAGAGAGACAAGACAGACACCUGGUGCCACCUGAAUAAGACAACCCUGGCAUGCAAGGCGAACAGUCUACACUGUGGAUUCUGCUCAAACAAGAGGCCACUUAUUGAGAACAACCAGAGUCCCAAAUCUUCAUCUCGUGUCAGUCACCGGGUCCCCAAAACAAUCCCAAAUUAUAAUGGAUGUAAGCAGGAGAAGAGCCCAUGUCACGAGAAGGGUGGGGCCAUGGAUGCUGACUCUGAGAUGACAGAAACAUCUGUCACCAGCACGUCCCUUCAUUCUGAUGAUAUGGCUUGUUGGCUAGGCUUUCCUUAGAACGAGCAAACCAACUCCUCAGGAGUCUGAGACCCAGCCAGCCCUAAAUCUGUCACCUGCCUGAUCUCAUUACCCUCAAGGAGGCUUCAACCACUUUUAUCCUUCUCUUCCCCUUCUUCCCAACAGUGUACCUAGACUGGCCCACCUUCCCUCCUCAUAGGUCCCGCCCACAUUCGAGCAACCAAUCAAAAGCCUUAUCCAAGUCCCUCCUCUAUGGGAAAGGCUGUCACAGAUCAUCUUUACAAGGACUGUUGUCCAUCUCUUGGUCACACCCUGGCUAAUUGACAAUCAGUGGCAAUUUGACGCAAUGCUGAAAUUAGAAGAGAAAGAUUUUAAAAACGAGAGCUGGAGAGAUGGCUCAGUCAUUAGGAACACUGGCUGCUCUUCCAAACGACCGAGGGAUCAAUUUCUGGCACCCACAUGGGAGCUCACAACUGUCUGUGACUCCAGUUCCAUGGAAUCUAAUGCCCUCUUCUGGGGUCCUACAUGCAGGUGGUACACACAAACACAUACACUUGCGUUAAUAAAAUGAACAAUAAGUAUGUUUUAAAAGAAAACAAAGGAGUCUCUGAGAUGACCCCGACUAUGAUACACAGGAACCUC
rnacentral:lncRNA from 1 species